GAAAUCAGUUCAGCACUAAGUCACUUUGUCUAUAUGGCAAAUGUGAGAUGCAGUGUAUGGAACAUCAAUAUUCUAGUAUGAGAAAUUAACGAUUUAAGUCCUUCUUAAAUGAGGCCAUUUACCCAUAGAGGGUGCCAGGCCCGUAUAACGUUAAUGAUUAUUAGAUGAUGUUUCCAAAGAGUCGUGUUGCUUGAUAGUGCAGCACUAAGUGGGUGGUAAACUCCAUCUAAAACUAAAUAUAACCAUGAGACCGAUAGUAAACAAGUACCGUGAGGGAAAGUUGAAAAGAACUCUGAAUAGAGAGUUAAAUAGUACGUGAAACUGCUUAGAGGUUAAGCCCGAUGAACCUGAAUAUCCGUUAUGGAAAAUUCAUCAUUAGAGUUGUAAUAUUUAAACAAUAUUAUAACAAUAGUGUGCAUUUUUUCCAUAUAAGGACAUUGUAAUCUAUUAGUAUCAUUAAUUUAUCAAAAAAUUUUAGUCAAUUGCUUAUUUUAAUUAAAAUGCUUGCAUUUUAACAUAAAAUAAAAGUCAUAAAUUUGAUAAAGUGCUGAUAGAUUUAUAUGAAUACAGUGCGUUAAUUUUUCGGAAUUAUAUAAUGGCAUAAUUAUCAUUGAUUUUUGUGUUUAUUAUAUGCACUUGUAUGAUAACAAUGCGAAAGA
rnacentral:rRNA from 1 species